AAAGCAGGUUGCAAUUACAGUGAUGCAUUUUGUGGAAGUACUGCCAUUAUCCUGCUGAAAGAAAAGUUAAUUGUUUCUGAUUUUUGCUUUUAUGAGGGUACAAUCAUGGCAGCUUGACAUGAACAAUU
rnacentral:snoRNA from 1 species